CCUACGGNAGGCAGCAGUGGGGAAUUUUGGACAAUGGGCGAAAGCCUGAUCCAGCAAUGCCGCGUGAGUGAAGAAGGCCUUCGGGUUGUAAAGCUCUUUUGUCAGGGAAGAAACGGUGAGAGCUAAUAUCUCUUGCUAAUGACGGUACCUGAAGAAUAAGCACCGGCUAACUACGUGCCAGCAGCCGCGGUAAUACGUAGGGUGCAAGCGUUAAUCGGAAUUACUGGGCGUAAAGCGUGCGCAGGCGGUUUUGUAAGUCUGAUGUGAAAUCCCCGGGCUCAACCUGGGAAUUGCAUUGGAGACUGCAAGGCUAGAAUCUGGCAGAGGGGGGUAGAAUUCCACGUGUAGCAGUGAAAUGCGUAGAUAUGUGGAGGAACACCGAUGGCGAAGGCAGCCCCCUGGGUCAAGAUUGACGCUCAUGCACGAAAGCGUGGGGAGCAAACAGGAUUAGAUACCCUGGUAGUCCACGCCCUAAACGAUGUCUACUAGUUGUCGGGUCUUAAUUGACUUGGUAACGCAGCUAACGCGUGAAGUAGACCGCCUGGGGAGUACGGUCGCAAGAUUAAAACUCAAAGGAAUUGACGG
rnacentral:rRNA from 1 species